GUGCUGGUGACAUCAAAAUCUACUCCCUCUCCGAGAGUUAGAGAGGCUUCUUGGUAAAAGCUGUGCUCAAGAGGACCUCCUUGAUAAGCUCUAUCAGAUUCUGCAGCCACAGAUCUCACCUGUUUGUAGCUUCCACCAUUGCCAGGGAUAAAAAGAACAGGAACUCCACUAAGUGUCUUAAGAUGAUCGCUGAAAUUAAUCUUUCUCCAUCCUUCAUGGUAUAGAUGUAAUCCAUACUUCAUGGACGACAGAUUUUUCGGUGUAGGUACAGGGAUAUAAGUAGGAUACAUGUAUGUCAUGGUACAUCCAUUAGAUAUGGGUUUUAGCAUGCUAUAAAGACCAGCUAAACCUAUAGAUAUAGCAAGUAGAACCAAUGCAAUCACUCUAAAUUUCGCUCUGCAGCCUUGCAUGUUUUGGCUCACGCUACCGCCCA
rnacentral:misc_RNA from 1 species